rnacentral:other from 1 species
ACUAUCCUGGGGUGUUCGUUAAGACCGUUAAUUCAACCUACACUAAUUUUUCGGGACUCCGCGUUUAUCCGACUAUGUCAGGCCUCUGCAGAGUGGAAGGCAGAAAACGGUAACAGGUAACCCACCUAUCGGAUGAUAGGGCGUGAAUUAGGGUCUGACGGCACUUUGGGAUUUUU